rnacentral:rRNA from 1 species
UAUGGGCGCGAGCCUGAACCAGCCAGUAGCGUGAAGGAUGACUGCCCUAUGGGUUGUAAACUUCUUUUAUACGGGAAUAAAGUGAGGCACGUGUGCCUUUUUGUAUGUACCGUAUGAAUAAGGAUCGGCUAACUCCGUGCCAGCAGCCGCGGUAAUACGGAGGAUCCGAGCGUUAUCCGGAUUUAUUGGGUUUAAAGGGAGCGUAGGCGGACGCUUAAGUCAGUUGUGAAAGUUUGCGGCUCAACCGUAAAAUUGCAGUUGAUACUGGGUGUCUUGAGUACAGUAGAGGCAGGCGGAAUUCGUGGUGUAGCGGUGAAAUGCUUAGAUAUCACGAAGAACUCCGAUUGCGAAGGCAGCCUGCUGGACUGUAACUGACGCUGAUGCUCGAAAGUGUGGGUAUCAAACAGGAUUAGAUACCCUGGUAGUCCAAGGGCGAAUUC